AAACGACUCUCGGCAACGGAUAUCCCGGCUCUUGCAUCGAUGAAGAACGUAGCGAAAUGCGAUACUUGGUGUGAAUUGCAGAAUCCCGUGAACCAUCGAGUCUUUGAACGCAAGUUGCGCCCGAAGCCAUUAGGCUGAGGGCACGUCUGCCUGGGUGUCACGC
rnacentral:rRNA from 1 species